CUUCAUGGUUCAGACAUUACAUGAUUUUAUCAAUGAACCUUUGCCACACCUCAUAUAGGGGUUCACCACUAAGUUGAAAAAAAUUUGUGAUUUUUUCUCUUAGUUG
rfam:Capsicum annuum cultivar Zunla-1 chromosome 6, whole genome shotgun sequence